CCAGGCUUUGGAGAGGGAGGAAGAAGCAGAAUCACUAUGAGAGGGGCAUAGGAUGGACCAGCCUUGUAAGAAUUCAGCACACCUUGGGAUGUCUCCUCCAGAUCUUCUCUCUUCAGACUGAAGUCUCUGCCUGCUUCCCCAGACUCCCAGCCUUCCAGAACUAGAAGUGGACUAAGUGUAUUAAGAUGUUUGAAAGUCCAGAAAUAACAUCACUGUUUUUAAGUCAUAUCGUGGAGAAAUAAUAGAGUCAACAGUUGGCUUCUGCUGAACAGGCUGCCCCACAAUGUAUUCCCUAAGAAGCCCCUUCCUGCCUUGCUACCCCAGAAUGACUCUUCUUGGAUCACAUCCCUCAGGUUCUUCUCUCAGCUGCUGGUCAUCCUCACAAAGCCUUCUCAAAGCUUCUUUAUUCUUAUUCAGUCGGCUGAUUUGGUCAGGCCAGUGAGAUGGCUCACCAAGCAAAAACACUUGCAGGCAAGACUGGUUAGCUGAGUUUGAUCUCCAGCACCCACAUGAUGGAAGGAGAGAACCAAAUCCCACAUGUUGUCCUCUGAUCACUACAUGUGGCCCAUGUGCCUGCUGCUGCCAAAUAAAUGUAAUUUUAAUGUUUUAUGUUCAAUUGGUGACAGCUACCACUUAGUAGCUUAGUAAUUUGAAGUGAAAUCAUUCUUGCAGCCAAUGGGAAAAAGCUAGACAAAUGUAUCUAAUUCAUGUAUCUGUAAAUAUUCUCCUAGACCCAAGUUAUUUUAGUAUGACUUUCAGUUUUGCCCUUGCCUAGGUGAGAUCGGCAUGAUAGCUAGAGCAAUAUGAUAAGUUAUAGCAGGAUGAAACGCUAUUAAGACUACUUUUCAUCCUGCACCAAUCGCUACUCAUAUGACUAUAUCAAAAUUUCUUGUUCUACAGGGCUGAGUGUAGAUAUGAACUCACAGAGACUGUCACAACAGUCCCAAAAACAGUUCAGACCAGACAGAAUACCAGCAUAAUGGAAGAGAAGUAGGGGCAAAGCCACUCCCAACCAAAAAGCUAUUGGCAAGUGACACCUGCUGGGAGAGGGAACAUCAGUUUUCUCUAUUAGGAAAUAUCAGCCACACUCCAGGGGAGACCCUGUGGCUUAUGAAAAUAGGCCAGCACAAUGGACUGUGUGUGCUGAUUGUUUGUUUUGUUUGACUUUUGACUUUGUUGUUGUUUUUAGAAGGAGAGAAAGAACUUGAAGUUGGAUGUGGAGGGAGGCGUAAAGGAUCUGGGAGAUGCUGCAGGAGGGAAAGAAUACAGUCAAAAUAUAUUGCAUAAAAAUGUAAAAACAAAACAAAACAAAACAAAACUCAAAACUGUGGUUCUAACAGGAUAAGCAAAUUUAUCACAUAUCCUGCUGACAUCCCUCUGUGCCUGUGUGGUAUUCUUUUCAGCUCGCUCAUACAUGAACUCUUCCUAAGAACAAUGAAACGCAAGUCACAUGACAGAAUAUUAGAGUUCCUUCAAAUGUGGAUGUGCACAGGGAAGAACUAUAGCCCCACAAAGCUUCCAACUGAUCUUGAAAAGACUUCGUAUUCACAUAUCACUAAGUGAGGGGGGGCACCGUGAGAAAUGUACCAAUAGGUGAUUUCAAUAUUAUGCAAAGAUUAUAGAGUACAUUACAGAAACCUAGAUGGUAUAAAUAGCCUGUCAUAUCUAGGAUAAAUGGUAGAUAUAGACGAAAGGCAGUCAGGUAGAUAAUAGACAGACAGAUAGACAGCUAUGUAAUGUCACAUAGCUUCUUGUUCCUAGAACUGUAAUGAACAAAGCAACUUGGAAUUAAAUUAAGCUUAAGAGAUCCAGAAAAUAGCUGUGAAGGCUGCGACUAGCAUGAUAGGGUGUGUGGCUUUAUAGAAAAAUAAGUAGAAGGAAGAUGCUAUAAUAAAAAAUAAAAUGCAUUUAAUGCAUUAACUAGUACCAUGUAUAAGUUACUGGUAUCCAGUACUAAAUCCUGUAUAUAAUUGCAUGCGCUAUAAUUAUACAUGUGCUGGUAGCCAUGUUUCAACAGCAUCACCACAAACACAUGAGUAAUAAGUUACACGGUGAUGUCACUAGGCAAUAAAUAUUUGUCCUGCUCCAAUAUAAUCUAUGAGACCACCAUAGCAUAUGUGGUCCCAUGCCGAGCAAAAUGCUAUUAUGUGGCACACAACUGAAACACAUUAUUAUUACUACUGUCUCUCUGGAAGUGCAAAGCAGCCCAGCUUUGGAGUCUGGAGACAGUUGUGGGUUCUGCCUCUUAUCAUUGGUUGACCUUGGGAAAGUUAUUUAACUGUCUCCUUAUCUCUAAAAUGGCUAAGAAUAAAGCCUCCAUUCUGCUUAGGUUCUAAGUAGAAAAAUAAAAUCCUCUCAAAUGAUCACCACGCAUGGACCUUAAUACAAAAGAUUAAUCUCUGUGGUAAUGGAGACUUUGAAAGUCAAAGGUGUGGAGACAAAGCAGAUGUUUUUAGCAACAGAAAGCCAUGUCAACCCUCAGAAAGAAGGCAAAGAAGAGGAGGUGGAGAUAAUAGAUAAUAUGGGCAUAGGGUCUGCAGGGUCAAGAGGUUAGCAAUAUGUGAUGGCUACUUUUGGUUGUCAACUAGACUAUAUCUGGAAUUAACCCAAGUGGCUGGGAACACCUAUGAGAGAUGUUUCUUAAUUCAUCCUAUUGAAGUAGAAAGAUCCACCUUUAAACUGUAUGACGCCUUCUGGUGGCAGCCUACAUAAAGGACAUGGAAGAAGAAAGCUUUUGUUCUGUGUCUACUUACCCUUACUCUUGCUAGUAUUAGAGCCUACUUCUUCAGGAUGGUGGUAUAUACUGAAGACCAGCUGAGACAUCCAAACCUUGUGGACUGAACAAUGACCGAACUCUUGGACUAAACAACUACUAUAUUCCUGGACUUUCCAUUGGUAGAGGCAUUGGUUGACUAGCUGGAUCACACCUAUAAGCCACUCUGAUAAAUCCCCUUUAUAUAUGUGUGUUUGCGUGUAUAUACAUAUACAAAAGAUUAAUCUUUGUGGUAGU